rnacentral:rRNA from 1 species
GAUAAACGCUGGCGGCGCACAUAAGACAUGCAAGUUGAACGGACUUAAUCGAAAUAUUUAUAUUUUGAAGCGGUUAGUGGCGGACUGGUGAGUAACGCGUAAGGAACCUGCCUAUUAGAGGGGAAUAACAGUGAGAAAUCAUUGCUAAUACCGCAUAUGCCAUAGAUAUCACAUGAUAACAGUGGGAAAGGAGCAAUCCGCUAAUAGAUGGCCUUGCGUCUGAUUAGAUAGUUGGUGGGGUAACGGCCUACCAAGUCGACGAUCAGUAGCCGGACUGAGAGGAUGAACGGCCACAUUGGGACUGAGAUACGGCCCAGACUCCUACGGGAGGCAGCAGUCGGGAAUAUUGCGCAAUGGAGGAAACUCUGACGCAGUGACGCAGCGUAUAGGAAGAAGGUUUUCGGAUUGUAAACUAUUGUCGUUAGGGAAGAGAAAGGACAGUACCUAAGGAGGAAGCUCCGGCUAACUACGUG